rnacentral:rRNA from 1 species
GACAGAGGGUGCAAACGUUGUUCGGAAUUACUGGGCGUAAAGCGCGUGUAGGCGGCUUCGUAAGUUGGAUGUGAAAUCCCACGGCUCAACCGUGGACGUGCAUCCAAAACUACGUCGCUGGAGUCUCGGAGAGGAAGGUGGAAUGCUUGGUGUAGAGGUGAAAUUCGUAGAUAUACAAGCGAACACCUGCGGCGAAGGCGGCCUUCUGGACGAUGACUGACGCUGGAGACGCGAAAGCGUGGGGAGCAAACAGG